UCUCAGGAAACUAUCUAGAAAGAAGCUUUGUUGCUAUGGAGACAUUUUUAUUUUCUUCCCUUAGUUGGCUGAAAAAAACAUUAGCAUUUCCAAUUUUUUGUUCUUCAAAAGGCCAAAUGUCGCUCAAGAAAACACAGAACUUUUCAAAUCGUCAUGCAGAAUAGGCUAAUCGAGCUUUAGAUGUUUAAUUAAUUAUUCGACUCAAUUAGAAGUGUACCAGAGAGAGGCGGGAGGCCCGGUGUAACUUUUCUGCAAAUUCUCCUCAAUGGCUGAUUCCCGCUGGCCAGCGUAAUUGCUCAAAAACACAUCUAAAACUUUGCAAUUCAUGAUGCACUCGACAAUCUUUCAUAACAACUUAGGAAUCAGUCAGACCACUCAUUUCCUCCAGCUUCUUCUAAAAUCAGCCUCAGAAACUGAAAACACUCUAACUGGGAAUUUACUUCUUUCCCAGCGCGGGGGAAGAGAGAGCAAGAGCCGUGUAACACCAGCAUUAACCUGCUACCAGCACUCGGUGUCUUCAGGCAGGGGACGGAAAGUUGCAGUGCAUUUCACCCACGUUGCUGACUCCACAAGGCUAACACCUCUUUAACUGAACCUGCAAACACGUGCUUCAUUCCAGAUACGUUCACCCUGAGCAAACUGGUGUAAACAUGAAUGCCAGCAUUGGGGGGUAUGGUUUUAAUUGCGCACUUACAUUAUAACGAGGACUUCAAAAAAAAGAUAAUAAAUAAAUCCAUCUCCUCCCUCUGCUUCUUUCCUCCUAGCUAUUACACUGUCAAAGACUUUGCGCUGGAGAAGACCUUUCCACCCACCUCCUCACCCCAGCAAACUUCCUCUUCCUACUCUACAAUGUGAAGUCAUAAUCUUGUAUUAUCAACAUCACAGUCUGUUGCCAUGGAAAUAAUUAGACAUGACUGCUCAGGUUAGAAAUUACAGCCCAUGUAAGUGUUUGCCUCCUGGGUGAAGAGAGCAUCUGGAGAGAGAACAUUUGAGUUACCCUAAAUCACCAAGUGGCAAAAUAAAGUUUGAUAGUGAGAAGCGCUGUAGGAGCUCAUCCAAAUGUGGGCACACCACUGAGUAAGAGUCACCCUGCCGUAACAGGCACGAGCAAAGAGGCCAGCAUAGUUUAUACACAGAAGAAGGAAAAAAGCCAUUGCGUAAAGGAAGUGAAGCCACAGACAUGGCAGAAUCAACUAAUUCUUUGAUAGCAGAGUACAUGUUACUUUCAUAUGAAUGCUCUUCACUAAAUUAAAAUUCCCAGACGACCUCAUUAAAAAGGCAAAUGAUGUGACACUGAAUGAAAGAAAGAAAUGUAAAAUUCAGUUAAAAAAAAAGAAGAGAUACCUGAGGUUCAGUUUUGUGUUUUAAAAUCUGCUAAAAACCACAGACUUGAAUGACAUGCUACAAGUCUAGCUAUGAAAAGGUUAUUAAGAAAAAAAAAAAGGGCAAUGCCAAAAAAUCAGCUCCAUAAGAUAAACCAAGACAACAAACAGGACCCUGCUAAUUAAUAUUUGUUCUGCUUCAGCAGACAGUUACUGGACGAGACUGCAACAAACAAGCUUGUCUCACCCAAUCACAUCAUUAAUCCAUUCACGUUCACCACCUGAGGACCAGCUAUGCCCUACAGAUAUUUAUUCAUCUGUUCCACAUACAAACAAUUACAACACAUUUUCUGGAAUUAAGGCACCUGUUACAUUCAGCACAGCUUACAUGCCCAGAGGCAGAUAUCAAUUAAUACUGAACAAAUUAUUGUAUCGCGAGCCAACAGAAGUUACUCAUUAUAUUUUGAUAAUGCUACCCUCAAAACACCCAUGAAGAUCAAAACACAACUCUUGUGGAGCAAAGUUUAGUUCAAACAUGUUCAGCUCAAAAAUUACCACUUCAUCAUUACAGAAAGCAAAAUACACGCAACGCCUUGUUUCUGUACAGAGAAAGGCGCACGCAGAAGCCAUGACACGAAUGCGAAACAUGUUUUGAUUUUUACAAGUCUGUGAAGAGCUUUUCAGCUGAGUGGUAUUGAAGUGGCAAAAUGAAAUGAUCAGGAAAUAAAUUCUCUAACUUUCUUUACGCAUGUAACAGAUAACUAUGUUUCUUUGGCUCGUUAAAUACAAACUGAAUGCAAUGGUGUUUGACAGGAGACUCAUAUCACUGGAGGAAGUCUCACUUAAAAGAAACUUGACAAUUAAGAUGAAGUCUACUGCAGUAAAUCAUGUCAGUUUGUGCUGUUCCUCUACCAGUGGAAGAACAAAGUCCGAGCAAUGCAAUUACAUUUGAGGGAUCUCAAAUAGGCUAUUUUAUUCCAGCCACAAGAUAGCAGCUUUUAAUUAUUGACUUAUUGUGACUGAGAUGAACUCAUAGAAAUGAACAGUUUCCACCAUGUUGGCAUAUCGUACUACAGGUAUGGCCUAUCCCCAAAUAAUUUACAAUUCAAAUAAAAAAAAAAAAAAAGGAAAAAUACACCACAUGGGUAUAAAGAACAGAUAAAGAACAGAAGUGGAUUAACUACAGACAGGGAAAAAAGUUGCAAGAGUUUAGUCCCAUGUACAGGACAGUGAUUUAGAAGACUUUGAAAUUCUUGAAUAUGUUGGUAAGGGACAUCACUGGCUGUGACAGACUCAAAGCUUGGUGAGCAGCUGGGGGCUCCUUUAGUCUAGGUGUCUCGGCCAACGCCAUGGGAAGAGACUGCUACCACUUGAUUACUGUCUGCCAUAUGACACCUUCACACACAAAAUGCUUCCUAAGCUUCUUCAGAAGGUAAUUUUUACAGAAGGGGCUUUGUUAUGGACCAGAGAAACUUUUGUCAAAUUUGUCCCAGAGACAGUGGGUGAGAAGCAGGCCAGGAAGAAUGACAUGCCUCCUGAAUCAGCAGUCCUUAUGAGAGGUGGAAAAAUCCUUGCGGGGUGCAAACAGAAAGCAAGGGCACGCUGCAGCACCGCAGAAUCAUAUUUUAUUUAUUUACUAGUUAGCCAAAAAAAAAAUAUUCUUACUGCAUUGAAAAGAGAAAACAUCAGACCUUCUCAGAAAAGCCAUGUGUUUAACUGUGCAGCUGCUUGUUUGUCUUUGAGUCUAAACACAUAUUAUUCUGUCAUAUCCCUUAAGCCACCGCUACACUGUCAGCACAGCCCCUUGCUGCCCUUCCCUCCCCUCUCCUCUGCCUUGAAGAGCAGACCCAUGACCCAGUUUACUGCAUCUCGAGCUCUUCCCCACUUCAAACUUUGCAGAGGAUUCGGAGGACUGAAUCCAACAUGAAAUCAAAGAGUUCCCAAAGCCAUCCUCCUCCACCGAACUUGAUGUGCAGAUGGCGAUCUAUUAUUUAGGAAUAGCUCCUGGACAAUCUCAUGUUAUCUGGAAGGUCCCUACUCGUUCAGCAGCGAACUGCUUGCUCCAGGGAGGUGCUGGGAAGGAUGCAAGGCUGGGCUCUCUUAUCAGGCAGAAAGUGUCAUGUUUAGAGGAGUGAUACAAACCGAAAUGGGACUGUGUCUGAAAAGAAACAGCCUUUUGAUGCCAACCUGCCUCACUCCAUGGCUGCAGCCUCAGAUCUUGGCUCCAGUGCUCACCAGUGACACGAACAACUUGCCUGCCACAACCUCCAAAGAACCCGUAAAAUCUCACAUGCAAAAGGUGUUACCAGCCCAGCCCUUCUCUUCCUCACCCACACGCUGCUCAUUCCUCUCUGUGCGGAGGAACAGAGAGCAGCAGUUCCAGCUGCUCCAGCACAGCAUUUUCCCUGGGCAGAACUACGCAGAGGGUCACGGUGAGCAUAACUGGAAACAAGUUUCACGAACAAAACUGCCUGCCAAAUCAAAGACACAGGAAGUGGUAGCAUGAAGUGGCGAGGGGAAAUGGGACACUUCAGUCAAGCUCCUCUGUACCGAUGGGCAGGGUACCUUCAUUAUCUGAAUCAUACACUAAAGCGUAAAUUUACACUUUACGAGCUAUUCUAAAAUCUGCCCUGCUUAAUAAUCUGUAUCAGCAAGAAAACACUUUAAAGUGUCUCUCACAAUUAAACCCAGGCACAACCUUGUAUAAAUCAAAAUUUUGCUACCAUAUCAAAACGUUACACUGGGGCUGUAUAACGUUGCCCAUAUCCUCAUUACAUGCUACACUAAUUACUACCAGCAGAUUCAGAAUUUUCUGCACAUUAGAGGCUUUUAGAGGAGCUAUAAAAAAUUUCAGGCACCAUUAAUUUAAAUUUGUAUUGAA